rnacentral:rRNA from 1 species
CUGGCUCAGGAUGAACGCUGGCGGCGUGCUUAAC